GACGAACGCUGGCGGCGUGCUUAGCACAUGCAAGUCGAACGGAAAGGCCCUGCUUUUGUGGGGUGCUCGAGUGGCGAACGGGUGAGUAACACGUGAGUAACCUGCCCUUGACUGUGGGAUAACUUCAGGAAACUGGGGCUAAUACCGGAUAGGAGCUCCUGCUGCAUGGUGGGGGUUGGAAAGUUUCGGCGGUUGGGGAUGGACUCGCGGCUUAUCAGCUUGUUGGUGGGGUAGUGGCUUACCAAGGCUUUGACGGGUAGCCGGCCUGAGAGGGUGAACGGCCACAUUGGGACUGAGAUACGGCCCAGACUCCUAUGGGAGGCAGCAGUGGGGAAUAUUGCACAAUGGGCGGAAGCCUGAUGCAGCAACGCCGCGUGCGGGAUGAAGGCCUUCGGGUUGUAAACCGCUUUCGCCUGUGACGAAGCGUGAGUGACGGUAAUGGGUAAAGAAGCACCGGCUAACUACGUG
rnacentral:rRNA from 1 species